rnacentral:rRNA from 1 species
CUACGGGUUGCUGCAGUGGGGAAUUUUGGACAAUGGGCGAAAGCCUGAUCCAGCCAUUCCGCGUGAGUGAUGAAGGCCUUCGGGUUGUAAAGCUCUUUCGGCCGGGAAGAAAUCGUGCGGGCUAAUAUCCUGCAUGGAUGACGGUACCGGACCAAGAAGCACCGGCUAACUACGUGCCAGCAGCCGCGGUAAUACGUAGGGUGCGAGCGUUAAUCGGAAUUACUGGGCGUAAAGCGUGCGCAGGCGGAUGUUUAAGCCAGAUGUGAAAUCCCCGGGCUUAACCUGGGAAUGGCAUUUGGAACUGGACACCUAGGGUGUGUCGGAGGGGGGUGGAAUUCCACGGGUAGGAGUGAAAGCCGUAGAGAUGUGGAGGAACACCGAUGGCGAGGGCAGCCCCCUGGGAUAACACUGACGCUCAUGCACGAAAGCGUGGGGAGCAAACAGGAUUAGAUACCCUGUAGUC